rnacentral:sRNA from 1 species
UUAAUAUACAGUAUGCCAUACUUAAAGUGGGAGAAAAUUCUCCUCGAGCUAAAUUUUAUGGAACCCAAACGCUUAUAAAUGUGUGGAAGCCUUUUGUACAACAUAGAAAUGAAUUUAGCUUAUCACAAAUAUGGAUGUCGGCUGGAAGUUAUAGGCCCUGUUUGUUUGAUCAUUUGGAAUUUGCAUCCAAAUGAUCCAUCCAAAUAACCCAUUUGAAUGAUUCAUCUUAAUGAUGUUUGUUUGAUCAUCUGCUAAUUCAUCUAAAUGCAUCAUUUAGAUGGAGCUUUGUUUGUUUGAUCAUUUGGAUGAAUCAUUCACUUUCUCAUAUAUAUAUAAAUGACUAAAAUACCCUCUGUUAAGUAACAAGUCAAUUGCUACAUUCUUAUAUUAAUCAAAGUAAAGUUUGAAAAAGAGAGUUUGGUUUUGUGCUUCAAAUCUUGUCGUCGUUGAUCAUUUCCCAUUUCAAACUUCAAUUUCAGAUUACUAAACCUGUAAAGAAGAGCAAUAACCUGAAUCAUCACCAAUUCUCCAAUAAGAGCAAACAUGCAUAUUGGCUAGUACUUACCUAACGAUUCAACCAUGACACAUUCUCAAAAGUGAUUCAAUCAUGACACAAACUAGAAUCAGAAACCAAAGUAUGGUCUUAUGCAUAUUACCAAACCACAACACUAAAGCAAACAACAUCAAGAGACACUAGAAUUGCAGCUGCUCAAGAAUACAACAACUAGAUUGAGAGAGAGACUAUUCAACAAUGAGCUAAAACCAGAAACAUAGUCCAUUCAGCUGUCAUUAUGUCAAGCUAUUCAAUUGAAUCAAGUCUAAUCCAAACUAAUGAACACUAUGUUCAACGAAUUACUUGUCAGCUGUCACUACUAGUCACAAAAUUUAAAACGUGUGUAAUCAACCAACUUAUGUAGUGACGUGACCAUUCAGCUGUCACUAUUAGUCACAAAAUUUAAAACCAAGACAGAAACAGACAAUAGCAUAAGACAGAGACAGUCAAUAGCAUAAGACAGAGAGAUGGAACCUGUUAAUAUGGGAGUCUUGUUCCUUUGGCCAUCUCUGUAGUGAUGGAAUCUCGUAUAUUCUCCAUUACUCUGUCACCAGUAGGCACAUAUGGAACAUGCCCAUCAUCAGACAUUCUUAUGCUCCCAUUUGGAUAGUAACCAAGACCGGUUCUGUUGUGAGUCAGCUUCUUAAAACCUUCAUACUGCUUCUUACAAGUAGUAAACUUGAUCCCAAAUUUUCUCCAUGUAUGUCUUUCCCCAUAAACCUCAUAAAAUCUAUCUAUAAUAGUCUGUCUCCCAGCAUCAUUGACAUUCUGAUUCCUAAUAUUUCCUUUAAGCUUCUCCUCAAUUCUUAGUUCAAGGUAGAAACGAGUUUGCUCAUCAUUCCACGCAAGAUUCUUAGUUGAUCAUGUGUUUUUGUACAAAAUCAGUCUAAAUUACAGAAAAUAUUACAGUAAAUCUAAGUUUAGAGGAGAAUAUACUCACAUCGGUACCAUUGAUAGUUGUCAUCUGUAGCACACAAUGAAAACAAACGUUUUGUAGUUGUGUUUGAACAAGAUCAAAGAUACCAAACAAAUAAAACAAAGAUCAGAGAUAACAAAGCAAACAAUACACAACUUAUGAUAACAAAGCAAAGCAAAUAAAACGUGUACAAAGAUCAGAGAUAACAAAGCAAAGCAAAGAAAAACUAUUUGAUAUUGAACAAUCAUGAGAUAUUAUUCUUGACUAUUUCUACAGUAUUUGAACUCAAACCUUAGACGAACUCAUGCUACUACUACAGAAAGCCAAAUGCAACCACUAAUUAAUACUAUUUAAU